AUAGAGCCUACCAUGGUGGUAACGGGUAACGGGGUGUUAGGGCACGACACCGGAGAGGGAGCCUGAGAAACGGCUACCACAUCCAAGGAUGGCAGCAGGCGCGCAAAUUACCCAAUCCCGACACGGGGAGGUAGUGACAAUAAAUAACAAUACGGGGUUCUUUAGGAUCUCGUAAUUGGAAUGAGUACAAUUUAAAUCUCUUAACGAGGAACAAUUGGAGGGCAAGUCUGGUGCCAGCAGCCGCGGUAAUUCCAGCUCCAAUAGCGUAUAUUAAAGUUGUUGCAGUUAAAAAGCUCGUAGCUGAAUUUCGGGGUUAGUAGGUUGGUCAUGCCUCUGGUAUGUACUGGUCUCACUGAUUCCUCCUUCCUUAUGAACCGUAAUGCCAUUAAUUUGGUGUUGCGGGGAAUUUGGACUGUUACUUUGAAAAAAUUAGAGUGUUUAAGGCAAGCUAACGCUUGAAUACAUUAGCAUGGAAUAAUGAAAUAGGACGUUCGAUCUUAUUUUGUUGGUUUCUAGGAUUGACGUAAUGAUUAAUAGGGAUAGUUGGGGGCAUUAGUAUUCAAUUGUCAGAGGUGAAAUUCUUGGAUUUAUUGAAGACUAACUACUGCGAAAGCAUUUGCCAAGGAUGUUUUCAUUAAUCAAGAACGAAAGUUAGGGGAUCGAAGACGAUCAGAUACCGUCGUAGUCUUAACCAUAAACUAUGCCGACUAGGGAUCGGAUGA
rnacentral:rRNA from 1 species